CUGAAAUUCAUCACGUCUAAAUCCAUAUGUGUGAAAGUGCAUGAGGAGGACAUGGAAUGAUGCCACAUAUCUUGCUACAAAUAUGUAUAAACAGUUGCUGUAUCAGCAAGGUGUGUGUGUGUGUGUGUGUGUGUGUGUGUGUGUGUGUGCAUAUGCACAUGCACAUGCUAAAGAACUUGCCAAACAAGUACUCAGGGAGACAACACCUACAACUCACCAGUUGUAGUUACACAACUCAGGGUACAUUAUGUUAAGAGAGAAAGCAUGGUCAUUCCUCAUGUUACAUCUAGGCACAUGGGAAGAAGCUGGAGAGAGGUGUGGUCAGCCUCUGUUACCUCAUAUAGCCUGUUGCCAUGGUUAAAGGCUGUGGUGUUAGUGUGAGGGAGCUCAGGGAUGGGCUGGGAUCUGGAAGGAACUGCAGGUUUGUUGGGCUGUAUGUUGGGAGAAUAUAUACAGAUCCCUCUGCUGAAGUCCUGACUAAACCUCAGUGUGCUAUACUGGGAGAUAGGAGUAAGGAGGUGUAUGAAGCCUAAUGUGGUCCUUGAAGUGACCUUUAGCAGGGCCUGUGCUAAAGCAGUAGAAACUGUUGCAGUAAAUAUCAGCAGUGUGUAUGUGUGCAUACGCACAUGCUAAAUAAUUUGCCAAACAAGUACUCAGGGAGACAAC
rnacentral:lncRNA from 1 species